UACAGAGGUCCCAAGCGUUGUUCGGAUUCACUGGGCGUAAAAGGUGCGUAGGUGGCAGGGUAAGUUUGAUGUGAAAUCUCCGGGCUUAACCCGGAAACUGCAUUGAAUACUAUCCUGCUCGAGGUUUGGAGGGGGGACUGGAAUUCUCGGUGUAGCAGUGAAAUGCGUAGAUAUCGAGAGGAACACCAGUGGCGAAGGCGAGUCCCUGGACAACACCUGACACUGAGGCACGAAAGCUAGGGGAGCAAACAGG
rnacentral:rRNA from 1 species